rnacentral:rRNA from 1 species
CCUACGGGAGGCAGCAGUGGGGAAUAUUGCACAAUGGGGGAAACCCUGAUGCAGCGACGCCGCGUGAGCGAUGAAGUAUUUCGGUAUGUAAAGCUCUAUCAGCAGGGAAGAAAAUGACGGUACCUGACUAAGAAGCCCCGGCUAACUACGUGCCAGCAGCCGCGGUAAUACGUAGGGGGCAAGCGUUAUCCGGAUUUACUGGGUGUAAAGGGAGCGUAGACGGCAUUGCAAGUCAGUAGUGAAAGGCCGGGGCUUAACCCCGGGACUGCAUUGGGAACUGUGCAGCUGGAGUGCAGGAGAGGCAGGUGGAAUGCCUAGUGUAGCGGUGAAAUGCGUAGAUAUUAGGAGGAACACCAGUGGCGAAGGCGGCCUACUGGACGAUAACUGACGUUGAGGCUCGAAAGCGUGGGGAGCAAACAGGAUUAGAUACCCGGGUAGUC